AAACUUUUAGGUUAAUUAAACUAUUUAAUUGUGGAUUAAAAGAUUUCGUAAGAAAGGUUUU
rnacentral:tRNA from 1 species